AAAUUCACUGAAAUGCCUGGCGUACCGUUAGCAGCCACUGUGCACAUCGAAUUAAAAUUAAUGUUUGUCUCAAGCGCUGCAGCUUCAAAUUAUAGCCAUGGAUGACACCUCAAUUUGCGCCUAUGUCACGAUUCUUAUAUUCAUUUUAGUUCUGUUCCCUGAUUGGCUAUUCGACACACUAUUUUGCCUCCACCGAUUCCUUCACGAUAAAAUUCUUAAAAUCGUCUGUUGCACAAUCCACUUUGUAUUCAACUGCUUCGGUGUUCUGCUCACAGUUUUAAGCAUGUUCUUCAGACCAGCUCCAAAUUGUCCGAGACCUCCAAAAUGCUGUUAACAAUGAGAAUCCUGUCGAUCAUUCACCCCAAAAACAAAAAGAAGAACUACUUUAUGGAUAUUGCGAAAGAAGAUCCAAAUAGCAACCAGUUUUUGAUCACCGUAUCACCUGGCUCAAGAAAAAUCACAUUUCCAACCAGGCGACGCCGCCUUUCGUCCGGUCGCCGGUCAUCGCAUCACAAGUCUGAGCGGCGGAUCUGAGCGGCGAAUUUGUAUAACUCCGAACCAUGAGACGGCGUGAAAACUGGCCACAUGUAUUUGGAUGUGUUAUUCAACUUAGCAGCAUCAAUGCCUACCCUCUAUGUCUGUUUGUGAUGGUGGCCACUAAAAAAGCAGCGCAGGAAAAUGAACAUCAUUAGAUAUCUAGUUUACCAAGCACGUCCAGGCCGCAUUUUGCACUAACGUCGUUACCAUCAAGCCCUUCGACAACCGUCCAGGACUUCAAGGCACACACCUGUAUACAUAUUAUAACUAUUAA